UACGGAGGGAGCUAGCGUUGUUCGGAUAUACUGGGCGUAAAGCGCACGUAGGCGGCGCCGUAAGUCAGGGGUGAAAUCCCGGAGCUCAACUCCGGAACUGCCCUUGAAACUGCAGUGCUAGAAUUCUGGAGAGGCGAGUGGAAUUCCGAGUGUAGAGGUGAAAUUCGUAGAUAUCGGGAGGAACACCGGUGGCGAAGGCGGCGACCUGGGUCGAUACUGACGCUGAGGUGCGAAAGCGUGGGGAGCAAACAGG
rnacentral:rRNA from 1 species